AUACAGGACAAUAUUACUUCAGAUUUGAAACAAAUAAGGAUGACGAGGAGUUUUCUCGAAAACCUGUCUCUCUCUCUGUGACAGGUUUGCUGGUAAAUAUGGAUCCUGAUACAGUGAAAGAAGGGGAGAAUGUCACACUGACCUGCAUCACCACCUGCACUUUGAGUGACCCCCCCUCUUACAUCUGGUACAAGAACUCCCAACCUAUUGCAUACAGCCAGACAUUAAUGGAAUACCUGUACCUAAACCCAGUACGCAUUGAUGAUUCAGGCAGUUACUCCUGUGCUGUGGGAGGACAUGAGGACCAUCCCUCACCUGUACGGACUCUUAGUGUCAGGUAUGCACCAAGAAAUGUCUCAGUAUCACUGAGUUUUACUGGUUAUAUACUGGAAGGAAGCUCAGUGACUCCGACCUGCAGCAGUGAUGCCAACCCACAAGCAACCUACACCUGGUUUAAGGUGAAAAGGGGUCAAACCUUUUCUAUGGGAUCAGGACAGCAGUUGAACAUCAGUAAUAUCAGCUCGGAAUUUAGCGGGCAGUUCUACUGCAGAGCUGAGAACAAUAUUGGAUACAGUGAUUCU